rnacentral:lncRNA from 1 species
AAUGGUACCGGCAGCAGGCGUCCAGGGCUGUGAACCAGGCCAUUGGGCGGGUCAUCAGGCACCGCCAUGACUAUGGGGCCAUCUUCUUGUGUGACCACAGGUUCACCUAUGCAGAUGCCAAAGCCCAGCUGCCCUCCUGGGUGCGCCCCUACCUCAAGGUGUACAACAACUUUGGCCAUGUCAUCCGGGAUGUAGCCCAGUUCUUCCGUGUUGCUCAGAGAACUAUGCCCGCCCCAGUCCCCAGGGCUUUGGCCCCAGGUGUGGGUGAGGGAAAAGCUGCUGCCAAGGUGACCACAUUGCCUGGACCUCUCCUCGCAACCAGAAAAGCCACAAGUCUAGACGUGCAUGUGCCCAGCCUGAGGCAGAAGCCAGCAGGAUCGCCGGCUGUGGAGGACCCAGAGAGCAACCUGUGUGUGGAGUAUGAGCAGGAGCCAGUCACAGCCCCGUGGAGGCCCAUGGGGCUGCUGGCUGCCCUGGAGCACAGCGAGCAGAAGGCUGGGGCACCUGGAGGAUGAGGCCUACCCUGGGAAGGAGGUGGUUUAGGGCAGGGAGGGAGAUGCCUGAGGAUGACAUGGCCCCUCCACUCCUGAGGCCAGCCCAGGCCCUACCCAUUUGGCCUUGGCACCUUUCUUACUCCUUGGUUCCCUUCCCAGUGGGCAGGUGGACAGAUAGACCCCCGGUCAUGCUGUGCCCGUGGCCCCAGGCCACUUGCUACCCAGAGAGGUGCACCCUGACCCUCAGCUCCCACUAUACUGGCUCCCGGCAGGUCAGCCUGCACAGCCCACAAGUGUGGUGCCUCCUGCCACCUGCUCACCCAGAGCUGGUCUUUCUUAGGGCCUGGUCUGUGGGAUGGGCCCCAAGUUCCUUUCUCCCCUUUACCUAUGGCCUUUGCCUAAUAGCCCAUAGUUUUCUGAGCUUCACUUGGAGCUCCUCCCUGCUUCCUGCUUAUUCCUGGGAGCCAUUCCUUCCCCUCCAUGCCUGCUUGGGAGGCCCCUGAGCUGAGCCUGUGCUCACAGCCCACACUUAGCACAAAACUGUCCUUGUGGCUGCUGUCACACGCUACCUACAAGCCAUGAGGGCUGGUGGCUUAACUCAGAAGAUGGUGUGGAGGUCUGGCAAGACCUCCUCCCACACCGGCUUCUGUUCAGGCUCUUACCAGGGAUCGUGGGGAGCCGAGGGAUGUCACAGGUACUCUCAGGGUUGGGUUGAGACCACAGCUGUGUCCCCUUUAGGCAGUUGGUCGGUCUACCCUGUCCCUUCAGUGUGAGAAGAGGCUGGCUGAUGAGCAGAGAGGAGGAAGGAAGAAGGUCAGGCUGGUCAGCCACCAGGCCCUGAAGGUCUACAAGGGUUCCGGGAGACCUCAAAGCACUGAUGGACUGCCUCAGUUGCCUCUUUGCUGAAGACCCCAAGAAGCACACCCUGCUCCAAGGCUUCUACCAGUUUGUGCUGGCCCCACCACAAACAGCAGUUUAAGGACAUCUGCAUUCAGCUCACUGGUCAAGGCUGCAGUAGCUGGCCAGAGCCUGGCCUUUCCCACAGGCAGCAGGCACUGCCAGCCCUGGGGCCCAGUG